rnacentral:rRNA from 1 species
GAUCCUGGCUCAGAUUGAACGCUGGCGGUAUGCUUAACACAUGCAAGUCGAACGGUAACAUUGGAGCUUGCUCCAGAUGACGAGUGGCGGACGGGUGAGUAAUGCAUAGGAAAUUGCCGAAUAGUGGGGGACAACAUGUGGAAACGCAUGCUAAUACCGCAUACGCCCUACGGGGGAAAGAUGGCCACUUCUUGAAAGCUAUCGCUAUUUGAUGUGCCUAUGUCUGAUUAGCUAGUUGGUAGGGUAAAAGCCUACCAAGGCGACGAUCAGUAGCUGGUCUGAGAGGAUGAUCAGCCACACUGGGACUGAGACACGGCCCAGACUCCUACGGGAGGCAGCAGUGGGGAAUCUUGCGCAAUGGGCGAAAGCCUGACGCAGCCACGCCGCGUGAGGGAUGAAGGCUUUCGGGUUGUAAACCUCUUUCAGCAGGGACGAAAAUGACGGUACCUGCAGAAGAAGCUCCGGCCAACUACGUGCCAGCAGCCGCGGUAACACGUAGGGAGCAAGCGUUGUCCGGAUUUAUUGGGCGUAAAGAGCUCGUAGGCGGUUCAGUCAGUCGGGUGUGAAAACUUGAGGCUCAACCUCAAGAGGCCACUCGAUACUGCUGUGACUAGAGUCCGGUAGAGGAGUGUGGAAUUCCUGGUGUAGCGGUGAAAUGCGCAGAUAUCAGGAGGAACACCGACAGCGAAGGCAGCACUCUGGGCCGGUACUGACGCUGAGGAGCGAAAGCAUGGGGAGCAAACAGGAUUAGAUACCCUGGUAGUCCAUGCCGUAAACGUUGGGCACUAGGUGUGGGGUCUCGCUAACAGAUUCCGUGCCGCAGCUAACGCAUUAAGUGCCCCGCCUGGGGAGUACGGCCGCAAGGCUAAAACUCAAAGGAAUUGACGGGGGCCCGCACAAGCGGUGGAGCAUGUGGUUUAAUUCGAUGCAACGCGAAGAACCUUA